UAAACUAGGAUUAGAUACCCCUUUAGUUAAAUUAAUGUUUAGUAGUAAGUGAAUUUCAUGAAACUAAAAUUAAUUGGCGGCUUUUAAAAUAUGUUAGAGGAAUUUAUUCUAUAAUGGAUAAAACACCAAUAUCUUACUUGUUCUUGAUUUUCAGUUUGUAUAUCUCUAUUUAAAAAUAUUUAGAUUUAUUUUUUAAUUUUUUGAAAAAAUAUUUUAGGUAAAGAUGCAGCUUAUGGGCAAGGUUGAAAUAAAUUAUAUUAAUUAUUAUUUAACAAUUUUUAUUUUUUAAAAAAUAAAAAUAGAAAGAUUUAAAAGUAAAAUUUAUUUAGUAAGUAGAUUUGAAUAUUCUUUUUGAGUGUACAUAUUGCCCGUCACUCUCUAAAUAGAGAUAAGUCGAACAUAGUAA
rnacentral:rRNA from 1 species